GAUAUUGGAAGCGAACGUCGUUUCCAAGUUUCUUAGCCGGAAAACUCCAUCGUGGGAGCUACAUGAGCUCUACUCCAGCCGGUAAAACCGCCGAUCACAUUUUUUUCUAACGUGCAGAGGUACACGCUUUACAAAUUUACACCCUCAAGGACAAAAAUAAAGAAAACAACAGUUAUGAUGUAUGUUUAGAGUGAAUUAUUCAGCUGAAAAAAUGUUUUACUUUCGUUUAAUUUAAGUAUUAACCAAUCAGUCAAAAACAUAUGUAUUGAGUAUUGUAAUUGUUAUUAAAUAUUUUACAUAAAAUUUAAUAGUUACAUUUAAAGCUGAACUAUCGUAUAUAGAUAAUCUUUU
rnacentral:lncRNA from 1 species